UACGUAGGGGGGCAAGCGUUGUCCGGAUUUAUUGGGCGUAAAGAGCGUGUAGGCGGCCAUACAGGUCAGCUGUGAAAACUCGAGGCUCAACCUCGAGACGUCGGUGGAAACCGUAUGGCUAGAGUCCGGAAGAGGAGAGUGGAAUUCCUGGUGUAGCGGUGAAAUGCGCAGAUAUCAGGAAGAACACCCGUGGCGAAGGCGGCUCUCUGGGACGGUACUGACGCUGAGACGCGAAAGCGUGGGGAGCGAACAGG
rnacentral:rRNA from 1 species